rnacentral:RNase_P_RNA from 1 species
GUGAGCUGGUGGGCGGCUUCCGGGCCACUGGUCUGAGGAAACUCCAUCCACCAUGCAGUACUGCGGCAACGUGAGUUGCAGGGGGAGACCCUUGGCAAUGGACAGAAACGACACCCCCUAUGUGCAGCGAUGAUUCCCCGAAUGGGGACGAGGACGCCAUAGGACAUGGAUGAAACGGCUAACCCGCAGGGUGAAAGGGCAAAUAAGCGUCUAUAUUCCUAACUGCAGGGAGACGCGGGUAGCCCGCUUAGCUGAAUGCUGCUUAGAACAGAAGAUGGGUUACGACCAGCACAC